GCAAAACUCAAGAGAGAUCGGUUGUUCCCUCCCACCUGGAAGCCCGGCUCGCACUGACAGGAGAAGGAUCCGGGGACGUUGACGCAGCGGUGCUGGCAGUACCUGAACCUGCACUCGUCUAUGUCUGGAGGAUCUGAGCCAAGAAGUAAACUACACAGCCACGUUAUCUUGGCUCCAGCGAGCAGCCAAGUGCAGCAUGGGGAGUGGAACAGACAGCAGGGCAGUCGGGCAGCUGUGACGUUUUAUGGCCUGUACCAGACAGCUGGGAUAGAGGAUGACGACCAUCAACCUUUUCAGUGAGGAAGGAAUCAGUGAAAUGGAGGAAAACUCACGGGUGAAUCUUCCCCAGUGGGUCUCGUUUCGCCUCCCGCUGACCGGUGUGUCCGUCCGCUGGCUGCGAUCGACCCAGAUGAGCUGGCAUUCACUGGUGAUCCCUUCCACCGCUGCCUGUGUGACCCUGAGAGAGUGAGCGGGGAGCCCGACAGCUGGAGCAGAUGAACACAUGCCGAGGGAGGGAGAGGAGGAGGGAGAGACGGGGUAGGACGGCCCAUUCUUACCCCCCCGCUGGCCCCCUGCGCUGCCACCCUCCACCCCUCCCUGACCCCCCCAGGCGGGGUUGCCAGAUCUGACUGACAGUUUCCAGCCCAAACACAACGUAAAACCCGCCCAACUCCCAAGAAAAGAAGAAAGAAAAAUCCCUCCCAAAUCUCAACGUGAAGAGUUGGGGAGUUACUUUUACUUUAGUAACUUUUAGCAAAGAAUAUACUUUCAGGAGUAUUUUUACUGGUCUGUGCUUUUUACUUUGGCCUGAGUAAUUUCUGCUCUGACUCAGAGGUGAGCAGUGUACCCAUCUGAUUUCCAUAGAAAAGGCAGCUGUAAAUUAUUGUAAAUCUGAAACAUAAAAUCCAGCAUCAUUACUGUGUUUAAAU